CUUGAUGCAGAACUUGUAAAUGGAGACAUUUUACUGUUGUGCUGCAUAGGGAGAUUUUGUGUAGAGCAAAAUACGUUGAGGUUCUAUGUAUGGAUCGUUAGAAAAGAAAUUACGGGUCUUUUGGCUAAAAAUUCCUUUCAUGGUUUAUCAUCUGCUAAUCUUUAUGAUCUAUGUUUUCUUCCCCUUUUUUCUUUUAAUAUCAGCAUUCUUGAUUCACAUUACUGCAAAGUAAAGUUUAGAUUGUUCGUACAAAUACUUCGUUUACCUGUUUCUUUCCCCUGUCUUGGCUAGGAACUACUUUCACUGCCAUUGUGUACAUCGUAACCGCAUUGAUUGGAUCUGGGGUUUUAUCACUGGCAUGGAGUCUGGCUCAGUUGGGUUGGAUUGCUGGCAUUGCUUUCAUGCUUUUCAUUGCUGGACUCACACAUUUCCAGUCUAUGGUGCUUGCUAAUUGCUACGGAUCAUCAUCAAACUGGCAUGAUGCCAACCAUCGUCCUAUUCGUACAUACAUGGAUACUGUGAGGGAAAAUUCAGGUAAAAUUACCCGAUUAGAUAGUUUCUAAGGAAGUAUGUGUUAAUAACGUAUCCAAAUAACGAGAAAACUAGCUAGACAUAGCAGUUUUAAGAAAUUUUUGCUGCAUUAUUCCUCAUGAGGGUAAUUUAUGUAAAAAAAAAACUCAUUCUAUAGAAAUAUAAUCAAAGAACAAACGCCAUGUGUACUCUCUGUACUCUCACAGUUCUUUGUGUAGGUGUGAAGGCUGCCUGGGUUUGUGUGCGCAUUCAGCAGACGUACAUGUUUGGGACUGCAAUAGCUUGCAACAUUACAUCUGCUGCUAGCAUGAGGUAUUAUGCUUUGAAUACCCCCUCUCCUUCUCUACUCAUUAAAGGUUUUAAAAAAACUCAUUGUAUGUUUUAGCUCGUCUUUCAUGAGUAACAAUGUCCACGAUUAUAAUAUUAGAUUAAACGGUUACAUUCUGAAUCAGAAUUUCAUUUAUUCUGUCAGAAGUCAUUCACUUUCAAGAUUUAACUUCUAUGAUCAUGCAUUGUUCCGUACAUAUUUUUUCCAUUUAUUUUGAUUUUUGCUAAUAGACAUUACUUAAUGUUACUGCUUACAAGUUGCUAUAAAGUUAUUUCAAUUCUCUAUAAAUUUGUGCUGUGAUUAUCUAAUUCUCUUUUAAAUAAAGAGAUUAUGCUGAUUCUAGUCUAAUUAAACAUGAAAAAGAAUGAAAAGUUUUUUUUUUCCUCUUGCUUGUUCCGCAUGCAGCGAAUUAUGGAAAUCUUUUUGGUUUCCAAUCAAAUGGAGUUCCUCCCUCCUGGUGUUUGGAGCUGCUCAGAUAAUUCUGUCAUACACAAUAUUUUCAUAACACGAGAAUCUUAACCUAUGUCGCUGCAAUCAUGUCCAUCUUAUACACGUUCAUUGGACUUGCUCUCAGCUCUCUGGCCGCAUUCAAAGUGAUAGAUGUUUCAGCAAAUAGAAAGAUACCUGUACGAAGAUUUGGUGGGAUUUAUAUGGAUUCGUCAU